GGAGAGGUGUCUGAGUGGCUUAAGGUGCAUGCUUGGAAAGCAUGUGUAGGCGCAAGCCUACCGGGAGUUCGAAUCUCCCCCUCUCCGCCA
rnacentral:tRNA from 1 species